GAUGAAGAACGUAGCGAAAUGCGAUAAGUAAUGUGAAUUGCAGAAUUCAGUGAAUCAUCGAAUCUUUGAACGCACAUUGCGCCCGCCAGUAUUCUGGCAGGCAUGCCUGUUCGAGCGUCAUUUCAACCAUCAAGCCCCAGGCUUGUGUUGGGGACCUGCGGCUGCCGCAGGCCCUGAAAACCAGUGGCGGGCUCGCUGUCACACCGGGCGUAGUAGAUUUUAUCUCGCUCAGGGCGUGCUGCGGGUUCCGGCCGUUAAAAAGCCUUUUUUACCCAAGGUUGACCUCGGAUCAGGUAGGAAGACCCGCUGAACUUAAGCAUAUCAAUAAGCGGAGGA
rnacentral:misc_RNA from 1 species